UCUCUCUCUCUCUCACCCUCUCUCUCUCUCUCUCUCUUUUCCCACCUGCUCCCUCCCAGCAUGGUAGCCUCAGGGUUGCCUGACUUCUGACUUGGUGGCUCAAAGCUUCAAAGAUGCACAUCCCCAGAGACUCCAUUGCCCUUUAUCGUCCAGCUUUGGAAGUCAGUCAACAUCAUUUCUAUUGAAUUUUGUGCACUAGAAGAAAGUCACUAAGGCCAGCCCAUAAUAAUCAAUGGGAGGGGAAUUAAACUCUACAUUCUGCUGGGAAUACUGUCAAAGAAUUUGCAGAUGUGUUUUUAAACCACCACGCCUAGGAAAAUCAUUUCUCAUUCCUUUAGAUUGAGCUUUUUAUUGCUGCCAAAAUAUGCAAAUCUAACCAGCCUUGGCCAAUCAUUGUUCACAGGAAAAAACACUCUCUGAAUCAUUGACUCUACCUAUCUGAUCCAUAAAAUUACAGAAGUUGAACACGUUUCAGAUCUUGUCGAGAUUUCACAGAGGAGAAAACUGAGUCCUGGGGAGGCUAAAGUUUCUUGUUUCAAGGAGCAUAAUGAUUCUGCCUAGCAUUGCUAUAGUAUUAACAAAAUCACUUAUCAGCAUUCUCCUAUAUUUAUUGGCACUCUUCAAAGUAUUCUUCAAAUAGCAUCUUGCACAGUCUUUAUCAUAGUUAUAAGAGCAGCUGCCAUCUUCCAGAUGGGUAAAUGGGACCUCAGUGAUGUCAUGUGAGUUGCCCAAAAUCCAAGCUUUGGCUUGGCUUUGUUAAGUAGCCAAAGGAAGUUUGAGAUUCCCUCUGUCUAACUUGAAAGCCUGUGCUCAGUCCAUUCCAUGGAAGCCCUUGGAGAUCAGCUGGUUACAGAGGUCUCACCAGUUAGGGGACCAGGGCUGCAGUCUCUGGCUCUUGUCCGGAAUUUACUGCUAUGGAACUUUCUCUACUGAAAGUUAAGCUUUCAACCAAACCGUCCCUGAGAGGUACCCAUGAACUUACACUCUAAUGAAAAUGUGCCCUAUUAACACUAGAUCCCUUCUUGUGGAGAAGAGGAAGGACAGGUCUGGAUCCCCAGGGGCCUGGGGUUUUCAGAUCCCUAAAGAGGGAGCACCCACCGACUACUGAUGCUGGGGGGGGGGGGGGGGGCGGGCUACAAGCCCUUCACUGGCUGCAGUGGGAGCAAGCCAAGAUCUGAGUGAGGAGGAUGAGGAGGAAGAAAUGAGAGCAGCCUACUCCUCCUGAAGUGUCUAGCUAUGUGUAAAGGCUACCAGAGGGCAGUGAAAGACAAGAGUUUAAUUCAAACCACCCAUUAGUAACUACUGUUUAGCUUUUGUUUUCUGCCCAAACUGCUUUGUGCAAGUAAACACUAGCCAAGGGUUCUCAUAUCUUUCUGAUUGUUCACCUUCAGCUAAUGAAGGAGGAAAAGAAGCUCUUGAAAAGAUAUUUCAUGAGAUUUGUGUGUUUUAAUAUUGUUCUCAGCCCCUUUCUUCAAAUCUCCUGGAAUCGUUUCAACAGCUGGAAGAUGGGUAGGCAGGAAGCAGGACUGAAGUGGAUUUUAGAACAACUUGGCAAAUUAGCAAAGUUUUUAACAUCAUUAAAAGCUCUUAAAUAUUCUUCCCCAAACUACAUUUUUAUCUUGUGAAUGCAUUUCAGUAAUUGCUCUAAAGGAAACUGUGCAACUUUGGCACAAACAUAAAUGUUUGCAUGAUUUAAAAUUCAGUGGCAGAGAAGACCAUGAUGUUCUUUAAAUUGCUAAUUCUUAAACUAACCUUUUCGGUUUGUCUCAUCUUGAAAAAAUGCCAGUUCCUAUCAGCAGAGGCUGUAGUAAAGACAAUGCAUAUAUUAUUUAGUUGUUUAUAAUUGCAAACAACUUAGCUGUAUUUCAAUACUUAACCCUCAGCUCCAACACGAAGCAUAAGUAGGGUAUGAUUAUAAUCAUUCCAUCAUUCUGUAAAUAGAACAAUAGAAUAUUGCAACGCAAGACUAUUUUCUCAAAGCCAACAGCAGAGCAGACAGUGAAGCUGGUCUAGAACGAAGAGCUUUCAAUUUAAUGACCUUACCACAUGUCGCUGUUUAGCCCAAUCAGUAUCUGCUGAUCAUAUUAAUCAAGGACAGAAACCUACAGUAGAUAGACUGGAAAUGUCGCUUAAGGAGACAAGUGUUCUAACCCUGCCUAACUGAAUUAGGAUAACUAACACCAGCUGCUGUAACAGAUAAGCUCCACAAUCUCAGUGGUUUAGCAAGACGGUCCAACGCACAGAGACAUCAAGGCAGAGCUAGGGAGGGCAGUGCUCUGCUCCAUGCAGUCAUUCUGGGAAUGACAAUCAUUUUGCAUGCCACCCAGAGGUGGACUCCAAGGCUACCAUAGAAAGGUAAAGAGAGAAGGCAUGGAGAACCCCACAGAAAUUUAAGUGAGCCAGGCCUGACAGUGGCAAACAUCAUUUCCACUCAUCCUACCCAGAGGUCUCUCAUGUCAUAUGGACCCACCUAAGUACAGGAGACACUAAAGAUUACCUCUGUGCCAAAGAGGAAAAGAAAAGUCCACAGUGAACACAGCACUGCCUCUGCCAUCCCAGCUAGAGACACGGGUAGUUCUUUGCUGCCUGAUGUCAACCUCCCUAAUUCAGACCCUGAUCUGAUAUCAAUGAUACCGUAAAAAAGCUUUGUCCCCUACAUUUAAGAAAGUUCAAACUAAAGUUCAACCCCAGAUCAGAGGCAUAGAUCAGGGUGGUGAACAGGAAUGAGGAGACGGGUGCACUAAAGCCAAAGGGCUUCCCUUCUGGACACAAAGGAACCACACUGGCCAUCUGCAUUAGCUAUAUGUUGACACACAAGCUCUGAAGCUGCCUAUACACACCUCUAGGGCCUGGACCCUCAGCUGGAUGGCAUGGUUGUUAUGCAAGCCUUGGUGUCCAUUAAAAAAAACGACUAUCACAAGAUUACACUGCACAAUUAAAGCUACCAAGAUACCAAUAUAAUGCAUAUCUGAUUCGAGGGAGGGCACAGACAGAAGCCAGGGACAAAGCCAGCCUGAGGCCUGCUGAGAGUUGCCCAGUUGAGGAAGAAAUUAACAAUGUGCACGUGUCAGCAUUCCUAUUGUGCUAAUUUCCUUGCAAAUAUAAGCAAAGCCUUUUAAUUAACUUAAUAUCAAUUUUACUUUUCUCAUAUUUUAUUUUAAUUAUGGGCUAGAUUUAAAGCUCACACAGCAUAAAUUACAGCCCUAAAAUUAGCAGCUUUACAACUUUACACACUAGUAACUGCUAAACCUGAGGGAAGUGAGGUUCCCUGCCACCAUCCUGUCACUGCGUCCCCAUGCACGCCCCUCUCCAAUCCCUGUACCAGCCGCCCAUGCUGAUCAGGACUGAGUUCCUCACCCAGGAGUCAGCGAGUGCCAGCUUCACAAAGGAAGACCCAGAGAGGCAGCUGGAGGGUGUCUGUUCUGGGUCAGUAUCAGUCUACAGAUAGCAAUGCUAUCAGCUAAAUUGCCAGGGAGCUCUCACCUGCGUCCCUACUGCUUGUGGUAGUCCACACAGACAUUUCUCUGAUUGGAGCUAUGUUAAGGCUGGACCAGCCCUUGGGGUUCUUAUUAUGAUUGCAAGAAGCACCUCAGCAACAACUAGCAGGGAACUUUGAGAAAACAAGGUUAUGACUCAUAAUUUCUGGAGGGUACACUGCACAUCCCAGGCCAUACAACAAGGUUGCAGACAGAGAGGCAGAGUGGUUCUGGGACUCUGUCUUUAUUGGAGUCAAGGAUGGGAUGCCCAGGCUUUCCUAGGUUCGCUCUUUAUUGGCAAACUUAAAAUAUAAGAUUGGGAGUUAAUGGUGCAGGAAAGAAAACGCAGGGUCACUCAGGUCAGCUGUCGAGGUCACCCGGGGGGCUGCCUGGCUAUCUACCUAGUUGUGUGGCUGCCAGUAUGUUCAUUCAAGAUGGAUGUCUAUGAAACAGAUGACUUAGCAAUCAAAAGCUUAAUGCCAGGCCUUUACAUUAGGAUUUUUUUAAAAGCUUAUCGUCAGGCAAUAGUAACUGUAAUUAUACAACAGUGUCUCUGGACAAUUUAUUUAUGUCUCUGCAUUUCAGCUCCCUCUUGUGCAAAAUGGGCAUAAUAGUAUAAGAAGGUUUGAUGUAGAAUUAACUAACAUGACACACUUGCUAUGUAUUAAUUAGAUGGUGAAUACAAACACUGUGUGUGAUAAACCACAGCAUUCACAUGUAUGUACAAAUAUCAUGUAUGUCAUCGAAUCUAAAAUGCCUUCAACUGUAGGUUGUACCAUUUUUAUGUACCCAUAAGGAAAAAAGUGCUAACAAGUAAAAUGUGAGAUGCCAUUGAUCAUAAAAUGAAUCUCAACUUCAAAGCUAUAACAAUGUGCAUCUAGCAUUGACAAAAUAUGGUUAUAUUUAUGGUUGUUUCAACCUAUGAGAUGUCUUCAAGUCAAAUCCAAGUUAACCAGAAUGCCCAAGGAAUUGAGUAUUCUAGUUAAUUCAGUUUCUAGUAGCAGAGUCCUGCUUCACUUUAUAAUUCAUUAAAAAUAUACUGGGGAUAUAGAGAAAAUGUGGAUUCCGAAUGCAAAUACGCUUUCUUUCCUCUGUGGCCUCCACCGUAUUUACUUUCUCUAGAAAGCAACUAUUUUCUUGAAGGCUGGUCAGAGACACUUCUGGAGACUUUCUUUCCUGAUUAAACAAUAGGAGGAGAUGUGGCUAGUGGUAUAGUACUUUCUACCCUGUAUAAAGAUGCAAUGACUGGAACUACAGCAGCCAUCUUACAACCAUGAAGAACAGAUCACAAGAAAUGACAUUAUGUCGUGAUGAUGACCUCAUGAUUCUGAACCUAUCCUACCACUACUUCUGGGCUUGUUAAGUAAGAACAAGUUCUCACUGAUGAGUUAAUUCCUCAAUGACCUAGAGAGGGAUUUUUUUAAAUGAAUAAAAUCUACUGUCUUGCAAAGUAUUGAAUCCGACCAUGUUAACAAUUCAUUAUAAUGCAAGACAGACAUAAACAAGGGCUAAAAGAAAACCCAUGCAAAGCAGAGUCUAAAGUCCAGAAGAAGGAAUAAUCAAUUCUGACACAGUGGCCAAGGAAUGUUUCAGGAAAUAAAGGGCUUCUGAAUCCCAUCCUUGGAGAAUAUAUGAGAUUCUAAUAAGAUGGGUAGAUGGGCAUUAUUCAUAAUCUGAU